UUAAGUGACUAAGCGUACACGGUGGAUGCCUAGGCAGUCAGAGGCGAUGAAGGACGUACUAACUUGCGAUAAGCGCAGAUAAGGCAGUAAGAGCCGUUUGAGUCUGCGAUUUCCGAAUGGGGAAACCCAACUGCACAAGCAGUUACUGUUAACUGAAUACAUAGGUUAACAGAGCAAACCGGGGGAACUGAAACAUCUAAGUACCCCGAGGAGAAGAAAUCAACCGAGAUUCCGGUAGUAGCGGCGAGCGAACCUGGAUUAGCCCUUAAGCACUCGGUGAAGUAGGUGAACAAGCUGGAAAGCUUGGCGAUACAGGGUGAUAGCCCCGUAACCGACGCUUCAUCGAGCGUGAAAUCGAGUAGGGCGGGACACGUGAUAUCCUGUCUGAAUAUGGGGGGACCAUCCUCCAAGGCUAAAUACUCCUGACUGACCGAUAGUGAACCAGUACCGUGAGGGAAAGGCGAAAAGAACCCCUGUGAGGGGAGUGAAAUAGAACCUGAAACCGUGUACGUACAAGCAGUAGGAGCACCUUCGUGGUGUGACUGCGUACCUUUUGUAUAAUGGGUCAGCGACUUAUAUUCAGUGGCAAGGUUAACCGUAUAGGGGAGCCGUAGCGAAAGCGAGUCUUAACUGGGCGCUCAGUCUCUGGAUAUAGACCCGAAACCGGGUGAUCUAGCCAUGGGCAGGUUGAAGGUUGAGUAACAUCAACUGGAGGACCGAACCGACUAAUGUUGAAAAAUUAGCGGAUGACUUGUGGCUAGGGGUGAAAGGCCAAUCAAACUCGGAGAUAGCUGGUUCUCCCCGAAAGCUAUUUAGGUAGCGCCUCGGACGAAUACUACUGGGGGUAGAGCACUGUUAAGGCUAGGGGGUCAUCCCGACUUACCAACCCUUUGCAAACUCCGAAUACCAGUAAGUACUAUCCGGGAGACACACGGCGGGUGCUAACGUCCGUCGUGGAGAGGGAAACAACCCAGACCGCCAGCUAAGGUCCCAAAGUAUUGCUAAGUGGGAAACGAUGUGGGAAGGCUCAGACAGCUAGGAUGUUGGCUUAGAAGCAGCCAUCAUUUAAAGAAAGCGUAAUAGCUCACUAGUCGAGUCGGCCUGCGCGGAAGAUGUAACGGGGCUAAGCAAUACACCGAAGCUGCGGCAAUGCCUUUUAGGUAUUGGGUAGGGGAGCGUUCUGUAAGCCGUUGAAGGUGGUCUGUAAGGGCUGCUGGAGGUAUCAGAAGUGCGAAUGCUGACAUGAGUAACGACAAAGGGGGUGAAAAACCUCCUCGCCGGAAGACCAAGGGUUCCUGUCCAACGUUAAUCGGGGCAGGGUGAGUCGACCCCUAAGGUGAGGCCGAAAGGCGUAAUCGAUGGGAAACGGGUUAAUAUUCCCGUACUUCUGACUAUUGCGAUGGGGGGACGGAGAAGGCUAGGUGGGCCAGGCGACGGUUGUCCUGGUUCAAGUGCGUAGGCUUAAGAGUUAGGUAAAUCCGGCUCUUUCUAAGGCUGAGACACGACGUCGAGCUGCUACGGCAGUGAAGUCAUUGAUGCCAUGCUUCCAGGAAAAGCCUCUAAGCUUCAGAUAGUCAGGAAUCGUACCCCAAACCGACACAGGUGGUCGGGUAGAGAAUACCAAGGCGCUUGAGAGAACUCGGGUGAAGGAACUAGGCAAAAUGGUACCGUAACUUCGGGAGAAGGUACGCUCUUGAUGGUGAAGUCCCUUGCGGAUGGAGCUGACGAGAGUCGCAGAUACCAGGUGGCUGCAACUGUUUAUUAAAAACACAGCACUGUGCAAAAUCGCAAGAUGACGUAUACGGUGUGACGCCUGCCCGGUGCCGGAAGGUUAAUUGAUGGGGUUAGCGCAAGCGAAGCUCUUGAUCGAAGCCCCGGUAAACGGCGGCCGUAACUAUAACGGUCCUAAGGUAGCGAAAUUCCUUGUCGGGUAAGUUCCGACCUGCACGAAUGGCGUAAUGAUGGCCACGCUGUCUCCACCCGAGACUCAGUGAAAUUGAAAUCGCUGUGAAGAUGCAGUGUACCCGCGGCUAGACGGAAAGACCCCGUGAACCUUUACUACAGCUUGGCACUGAACAUUGAACCUACAUGUGUAGGAUAGGUGGGAGGCUAUGAAGACGUGACGCUAGUUGCGUUGGAGCCGUCCUUGAAAUACCACCCUUGUAUGUUUGAUGUUCUAACUUAGCCCCAUUAUCUGGGGUGAGGACAGUGCCUGGUGGGUAGUUUGACUGGGGCGGUCUCCUCCCAAAGAGUAACGGAGGAGCACGAAGGUGGGCUAAUCACGGUUGGACAUCGUGAGGUUAGUGCAAUGGCAUAAGCCCGCUUAACUGCGAGAAUGACGGUUCGAGCAGGUGCGAAAGCAGGUCAUAGUGAUCCGGUGGUUCUGUAUGGAAGGGCCAUCGCUCAACGGAUAAAAGGUACUCCGGGGAUAACAGGCUGAUACCGCCCAAGAGUUCAUAUCGACGGCGGUGUUUGGCACCUCGAUGUCGGCUCAUCACAUCCUGGGGCUGAAGUCGGUCCCAAGGGUAUGGCUGUUCGCCAUUUAAAGUGGUACGCGAGCUGGGUUUAGAACGUCGUGAGACAGUUCGGUCCCUAUCUGCCGUGGGCGUUGGAAGAUUGAAGGGGGCUGCUCCUAGUACGAGAGGACCGGAGUGGACGAACCUCUGGUGUUCGGGUUGUGUCGCCAGACGCAUUGCCCGGUAGCUAAGUUCGGAAUUGAUAAGCGCUGAAAGCAUCUAAGCGCGAAGCGAGCCCUGAGAUGAGUCUUCCC
rnacentral:rRNA from 1 species